rnacentral:rRNA from 1 species
GACGAACCGAGCGAACGUUGUUCGGAAUCACUGGGCAUAAAGCGCACGUAGGCGGCGGCGUAAGUUGGAUGUGAAAUCCCCCGGCCCAAUCGGGGAACUGCGUCCAGUACUGCGUUGCUUGAGGAUCCAAGGGGUGCAUGGAAUUCCCGGUGGAGCGGUGAAAUGCGUUGAUAUCGGGAGGAACUCCGGCGGCGAAAGCGGUGCACUGGUGGAUUACUGACGCUGAGGUGCGAAAGCCAGGGGAGCAAACGGG